rnacentral:rRNA from 1 species
CAAAGGACUCGCUUGGUGACCAGCGGAGGGAUCAUUACAGAGUUGCAAAACUCCCUAAACCAUUGUGAACGUUACCUAAACCGUUGCUUCGGCGGGCGGCGCCGGGGUUUACCCCCCGGGCGCCCCUGGGCCCCACCGCGGGCGCCCGCCGGAGGUCACCAAACUCUUGAUAAUUUAUGGCCUCUCUGAGUCUUCUGUACUGAAUAAGUCAAAACUUUCAACAACGGAUCUCUUGGUUCUGGCAUCGAUGAAGAACGCAGCGAAAUGCGAUAAGUAAUGUGAAUUGCAGAAUUCAGUGAAUCAUCGAAUCUUUGAACGCACAUUGCGCCCGCCAGUAUUCUGGCGGGCAUGCCUGUUCGAGCGUCAUUUCAACCAUCAAGCCCCGGGCUUGUGUUGGGGACCUGCGGCUGCCGCAGGCCCUGAAAAGCAGUGGCGGGCUCGCUGUCACACCGAGCGUAGUAGCAUACAUCUCGCUCUGGGCGUGCUGCGGGUUCCGGCCGUUAAACCACCUUUUAACCCAAGGUUGACCUCGGAUCAGGUAGGAAGACCCGCUGAACUUAAGCAUAUCAAAAGCCGCGAAGAAA